AUUGAACGCUGGCGGCAGGCCUAACACAUGCAAGUCGAGCGGAUGAAGGGAGCUUGCUCCUGGAUUCAGCGGCGGACGGGUGAGUAAUGCCUAGGAAUCUGCCUGGUAGUGGGGGAUAACGUCCGGAAACGGGCGCUAAUACCGCAUACGUCCUGAGGGAGAAAGUGGGGGAUCUUCGGACCUCACGCUAUCAGAUGAGCCUAGGUCGGAUUAGCUAGUUGGUGGGGUAAAGGCCUACCAAGGCGACGAUCCGUAACUGGUCUGAGAGGAUGAUCAGUCACACUGGAACUGAGACACGGUCCAGACUCCUACGGGAGGCAGCAGUGGGGAAUAUUGGACAAUGGGCGAAAGCCUGAUCCAGCCAUGCCGCGUGUGUGAAGAAGGUCUUCGGAUUGUAAAGCACUUUAAGUUGGGAGGAAGGGCAGUAAGCUAAUACCUUGCCGUUUUGACGUUACCAACAGAAUAAGCACCGGCUAACUUCGUG
rnacentral:rRNA from 1 species